AGUGGCCUUGUGGUAUGACAUCCGCCUGGAAGCCCGGGGGACGUGUGUUCGAGUCC
rnacentral:tRNA from 1 species